rnacentral:rRNA from 1 species
AGCAGCCGCGGUAAUUCCAGCUCCAAUAGCGUAUAUUAAAGUUGUUGCAGUUAAAAAGCUCGUAGUUGAAUUUCGGGAUCAAUGUUUCGGUCAUGCCCUUGGUAUGUACUGAUAUUAUUGGUUUCUCACCUUCUAAAGAACCGUAAUGCCAUUAAUUUGGUGUCACGGGGAAUUAGGACUGUUACCUUGAAAAAAUUAGAGUGUUUAAAGCAGGCUCACGCUUGAAUACAUUAGCAUGUAAUAAUGAAAUAGGACAUCCGAUUCUAUUUUGUUGGUUUCUAGGAUCGAUGUAAUGAUUAAUAGGGAUAGUUGGGGGCAUUAGUAUUCAAUUGUCAGAGGUGAAAUUCUUGGAUUUAUUGAAGACUAACUACUGCGAAAGCAUUUGCCAAGGAUGUUUUCAUUAAUCAAGAACGAAAGUUAGGGGAUCGAAGACGAUCAGAUACCGUCGUAGUCUUAACCAUAAACUAUGCCGACUAGGGAUCGGAUGAUGUUAAUUUUUUAAUGACUCA